CCCAGACUCCUACGGGAGGCAGCAGUGGGGAAUAUUGCACAAUGGGGGGAACCCUGAUGCAGCGACGCCGCGUGGGCGAGGAAGUAUUUCGGUGUGUAAAGCCCUAUCGGCAGGGAAGAAGAAAUGACGGUACCUGAAUAAGAAGCACCGGCUAAAUACGUGCCAGCAGCCGCGGGAAUACGUAUGGUGCAAGCGUUAUCCGGAUUUACUGGGCGUAAAGGGAGCGCAGGCGGCGCGCCAAGUCUGAUGUGAAACCCCGGGGCUCAACCCCGGGCAUGCAUUGGAAACUGGCGGGCUGGAGUGCCGGAGAGGUAAGCGGAAUUCCUAGUGUAGCGGUGAAAUGCGUAGAUAUUAGGAGGAACACCAGUGGCGAAGGCGGCUUUCUGGACUGAAACUGACGCUGAGGCACGAAAGCGUGGGGAGCGAACAGGAUUAGAUACCCGCGUA
rnacentral:rRNA from 1 species